rnacentral:rRNA from 1 species
UACGGGGGGGGCAAGCGUUGUUCGGAAUUACUGGGCGUAAAGGGCUCGUAGGCGGCCAACUAAGUCAGACGUGAAAUCCCUCGGCUUAACCGGGGAACUGCGUCUGAUACUGGAUGGCUUGAGUUCGGGAGAGGGAUGCGGAAUUCCAGGUGUAGCGGUGAAACGCGUAGAUAUCUGGAGGAACACCGGUGGCGAAGGCGGCAUCCUGGACCGACACUGACGCUGAGGAGCGAAAGCCAGGGGAGCAAACGGG